GGGAGGACUAAGCCCUAUGAUGAAAACCAAUGCCCAGGUCGGGAGACCUUAUUUUUCAGUAUCCUCUACAACCUGUUGCCACUCCAUAUAACUAGGAGGAGCCGACUCCUUCCAGUGUCUUGGGAUUACUGACCUGGCAGCAUCAAGCAGAUGUAAGAAAAUCAUUAAUCCUUGUGGGUCUCCCCUCUAGUACUUGCCAUUCAUUGAAAGGUGAUACCAUACCCAAUCAACAAAAGGAGUUUGUCUUAAGAGGGAUAGAAUUUAUUUUGGAAUACAACUUCUUCUGGUAUGAAGACAAAUUCUAUCUUCAUGUGGAAUCGCCAUGGGGACUCAGUUCUUACCCAGUUAUGCCAAUCUACAUAUGGGUUAUUGGGAAGAGUACCAUGUACUUCCCCAUAUAAAACUGGGUGGACCAGAGCAAAAACUCUUGCAGUUUGUAGAAGGUCUUAACCAAGUCUAUCACAUUUUUAGAUCUAGAAAUAUAAAUAAAAGAUAUGCAUAUUAAUGUCAAAACUUUCUCAAACUAUUGUGUAAUUUCAACAAG